rnacentral:rRNA from 1 species
UACAGAGGUCUCAAGCGUUGUUCGGAUUCAUUGGGCGUAAAGGGUGCGUAGGUGGCGCGGUAAGUCGGGUGUGAAAUCUCGGAGCUUAACUCCGAAAUUGCAUUCGAUACUGCCGUGCUCGAGGACUGGAGAGGAGACUGGAAAUUCAUGGUGUAGCAGUGAAAUGCGUAGAGAUCAUGAGGAAGACCAGUGGCGAAGGCGGGUCUCUGGGACAGUUCCUGACACUGAGGCACGAAGGCCAGGGGAGCAAACGGG